rnacentral:rRNA from 1 species
AGCGGAUGAAAGUAGCUUGCUACUGGAUUCAGCGGCGGACGGGUGAGUAAUGCUUAGGAAUCUGCCUAUUAGUGGGGGACAACGUUCCGAAAGGAGCGCUAAUACCGCAUACGUCCUACGGGAGAAAGCAGGGGACCUUCGGGCCUUGCGCUAAUAGAUGAGCCUAAGUCGGAUUAGCUAGUUGGUAGGGUAAAGGCCUACCAAGGCGACGAUCUGUAGCGGGUCUGAGAGGAUGAUCCGCCACACUGGGACUGAGACACGGCCCAGACUCCUACGGGAGGCAGCAGUGGGGAAUAUUGGACAAUGGGGGGAACCCUGAUCCAGCCAUGCCGCGUGUGUGAAGAAGGCCUUUUGGUUGUAAAGCACUUUAAGCGAGGAGGAGGCUACCUGGAUUAAUACUUUAGGAUAGUGGACGUUACUCGCAGAAUAAGCACCGGCUAACUCUGUGCCAGCAGCCGCGGUAAUACAGAGGGUGCGAGCGUUAAUCGGAUUUACUGGGCGUAAAGCGUGCGUAGGCGGCCAAUUAAGUCAAAUGUGAAAUCCCCGAGCUUAACUUGGGAAUUGCAUUCGAUACUGGUUGGCUAGAGUAUGGGAGAGGAUGGUAGAAUUCCAGGUGUAGCGGUGAAAUGCGUAGAGAUCUGGAGGAAUACCGAUGGCGAAGGCAGCCAUCUGGCCUAAUACUGACGCUGAGGUACGAAAGCAUGGGGAGCAAACAGGAUUAGAUACCCUGGUAGUCCAUGCCGUAAACGAUGUCUACUAGCCGUUGGGGCCCUUGAGGCUUUAGUGGCGCAGCUAACGCGAUAAGUAGACCGCCUGGGGAGUACGGUCGCAAGACUAAAACUCAAAUGAAUUGACGGGGGCCCGCACAAGCGGUGGAGCAUGUGGUUUAAUUCGAUGCAACGCGAAGAACCUUACCUGGCCUUGACAUACAGAGACUUUCAGA